GGGCUCGUAGCUCAGUUGGUUAGAGCAGGGGACUCAUAAUCCCUGUGUCGCCGGUUCGAGUCCGGCCGAGCCCACCA
rnacentral:tRNA from 1 species